ACGUCAAGUCCUCAUGGCCCUUAUGGGUUGGGCUACACACGUGCUACAAUGGCGGUGACAAUGGGAUGCAACGGGGCGACCCCGAGCAAAUCUCCAAAAGCCGUCUCAGUUCGGAUUGCACUCUGCAACUCGAGUGCAUGAAGUCGGAAUCGCUAGUAAUCGCGGAUCAGCAUGCCGCGGUGAAUACGUUCCCGGGCCUU
rnacentral:rRNA from 1 species